UCGGGUAUGGUGUAGUGGCUAACAUUGCUAACUCUCAUCUUGAGUUCUUAGCAGCCCGGAGUUCGAUUCCCCGUUCCCGAG